UACGAAGGGGGCUAGCGUUGCUCGGAAUCACUGGGCGUAAAGCGCACGUAGGCGGCUUCUUAAGUCAGGGGUGAAAUCCUGGAGCUCAACUCCAGAACUGCCUUUGAUACUGAGGAGCUCGAGUCCGGGAGAGGUGAGUGGAACUCCGAGUGUAGAGGUGAAAUUCGUAGAUAUUCGCAAGAACACCAGUGGCGAAGGCGGACUCACUGGUCCGGUACUGACGCUGAGGUGCGAAAGCGAUGGGGAG
rnacentral:rRNA from 1 species